rnacentral:rRNA from 1 species
UACGGAGGGUGCAAGCGUUGCUCGGAAUCACUGGGCGUAAAGGGCGCGUAGGCGGCCGUGUAAGUCUUGGGUGAAAUCCCUCAGCUCAACUGAGGAACUGCCUCGGAUACUGCAUGGCUUGAGGCCGGGAGAGGGUAGUGGAAUUCCCAGUGUAGCGGUGAAAUGCGUAGAUAUUGGGAGGAACACCGGUGGCGAAGGCGGCUACCUGGACCGGUUCUGACGCUGAUGCGCGAAAGCGUGGGGAGCAAACAGG